rnacentral:rRNA from 1 species
UACGGAGGGUGCAAGCGUUGCUCGGAAUCACUGGGCGUAAAGCGCACGUAGGCGGCUUUUUAAGUCAGGGGUGAAAUCCUGGAGCUCAACUCCAGAACUGCCUUUGAUACUGGGAAGCUUGAGUCCGGGAGAGGUGAGUGGAACUCCGAGUGUAGAGGUGAAAUUCGUAGAUAUUCGGAAGAACACCAGUGGCGAAGGCGGCUCACUGGCCCGGUACUGACGCUGAGGUGCGAAAGCGUGGGGAGCAAACAGG